rnacentral:lncRNA from 1 species
GGGAAUGGUAGCCGCCUUUAUGUUUAUGGGCCGUUAAACACGAUGCUGGGCUUUUUUGGGCGGCAAGUUUCCUAUAAAUAGCCACUUCUUCCUUCUUUGCUUCUCACACUGUGCUUUCCAAUUUUGACGAUGGAUAGGAAGAAUACCAAGAAGAUGGCCGUCGAGAGUUUCAAGUCCCAGAGAGGGAAGAAGGUGGAGGUGUCCACGUCU